rnacentral:rRNA from 1 species
AUUGAACGCUGGCGGAAUGCUUUACACAUGCAAGUCGAACGGCAGCACGGGGGCAACCCUGGUGGCGAGUGGCGAACGGGUGAGUAAUACAUCGGAACGUGCCCAGUCGUGGGGGAUAACUACGCGAAAGCGUAGCUAAUACCGCAUACGAACUCAGGUUGAAAGCGGGGGAUCGCAAGACCUCGCGCGAUUGGAGCGGCCGAUGGCAGAUUAGGUAGUUGGUGGGGUAAAGGCUCACCAAGCCGACGAUCUGUAGCUGGUCUGAGAGGACGACCAGCCAACCUGGGACUGAGACACGGCCCAGACUCCUACGGGAGGCAGCAGUGGGGAAUUUUGGACAAUGGGCGCAAGCCUGAUCCAGCCAUUCCGCGUGCAGGAUGAAGGCCCUCGGGUUGUAAACUGCUUUUGUACGGAACGAAACGCGCCGGGUUAAUACCUCGGCGUAAUGACGGUACCGUAAGAAUAAGCACCGGCUAACUACGUGCCAGCCGCCGCGGUAACAC